GCAUUCGUGGUGUAGUGGUCAGUACGCUCGACGCGUAACCGAGAGAUCCGUGGUUCGAUUCGCGGCGAGGGCA
rnacentral:tRNA from 1 species